CCAGGCUUCUCCAUCGAGGGGCCCUCACAAGCCAAGAUCGAAUGUGACGACAAGGGGGAUGGCUCCUGCGAUGUGCGGUACUGGCCCACGGAGCCCGGGGAGUACGCUGUGCACGUCAUCUGUGACGAUGAGGACAUCCGAGACUCACCCUUCAUUGCCCACAUCCUGCCCGCCCCACCUGACUGCUUCCCAGAUAAGGUGAAGGCCUUUGGGCCUGGCCUGGAGCCUACCGGCUGCAUCGUGGACAAGCCCGCUGAGUUCACCAUUGAUGCUCG
rnacentral:lncRNA from 1 species